rfam:Citrus clementina cultivar Clemenules unplaced genomic scaffold scaffold_2, whole genome shotgun sequence.
UACCCAUGACGUGGACACUUUAAAAGUAGCCUAUUGAAUCGCUCACAUGUUUCAAAAAACUACUCGUCUUUUCUUUGGGUAAACUCUGAAAUUUUUCUGUGAAU